GAAACAUUAGUUAACACAUUGCUCUCGGCAGGCAACACUGGUUGCUACUUCAGUAAUUCCUCCAAGAAGCUCAUUUCCAGCAGAUUCAACAUUUAAAAAGGGUGAGGCAUAGAACCUCUGUGCAUAUGUUAGUACUGAACAGACAUUGCAGUGGCACUCAGACACAGACGUGGGAUGGAAAGAUGUGCAGCAAACUUCACAGGAGCUUGGGAGAUGAGGAGAAUGAGAAAAGAAGUCAGCUGCUCCCGUGUUAAGGAUUCUACACGGCCAAAUGACUGAACUUUAUGGAGAGUUAGGAUGUUGUAGACCAGAGUCAAAUCCCAUCCCUAUCUCUAACCCAUCCUUGAGCUGAGUCCCAUCCCUAUGUCUAACCCAUUCCUGUGAAUAUAAAACAAACAAACAAAAAUGCACUGUAUAUUUGUAGGAAGCCACUAUCUCCCACCAAAUAAAAUCUGAAACCUACAA
rnacentral:lncRNA from 1 species